AUUGAACGCUGGCGGCAUGCUUUACACAUGCAAGUCGAACGGUAACAGGUUAAGCUGACGAGUGGCGAACGGGUGAGUAAUGCAUCGGAACGUGCCCGAUCGUGGGGGAUAACGCAGCGAAAGCUGCGCUAAUACCGCAUACGAUCUGAGGAUGAAAGCGGGGGACCGUAAGGCCUCGCGCGAUCGGAGCGGCCGAUGUCAGAUUAGGUAGUUGGUGGGGUAAAGGCUCACCAAGCCAACGAUCUGUAGCUGGUCUGAGAGGACGACCAGCCACACUGGGACUGAGAAACGGCCCAGACUCCUACGGAAGGCAGCAGUGGGGAAUUUUGGACAAUGGGCGAAAGCCUGAUCCAGCGAUGCCGCGUGCAGGAAGAAGGCCUUCGGGUUGUAAACUGCUUUUGUACGGAGCGAAAAGGUUCUCUCUAAUACAGAGGGCUCAUGACGGUACCGUAAGAAUAAGCACCGGCUAACUACGUGCCAGCCGCCGCAGUAAAAC
rnacentral:rRNA from 1 species